UACAGAGGUCCCAAGCGUUGUUCGGAUUCAUUGGGCGUAAAGGGUGUGUAGGUGGCGCCGUAAGUCGGGUGUGAAAUCUCGGGGCUUAACUCCGAAACUGCAUUCGAUACUGCGGUGCUUGAGGACUGGAGAGGAGACUGGAAUUCAUGGUGUAGCAGUGAAAUGCGUAGAUAUCAGGAGGAACACCGAUGGCGAAGGCAGGUCUCUGGGCUGACACUGACGCUCAUGCACGGAAGCGUGGGGAGCAAACAGG
rnacentral:rRNA from 1 species